UGCCGGCCUUGGAGAGCUGGAGGUUUCCGGUCUGCCAGUAGCCGCCCACGUUGCGCAGAUUGGCGUCGAGCGGUCCGAUACCGCCGUCGGCGC
rnacentral:tRNA from 1 species